rnacentral:rRNA from 1 species
UACGUAGGGGGCGAGCGUUGUCCGAAGUUACUGGGCGUAAAGCGCGCGUAGGCGGGCUCUUAAGUGAGGGGUGAAAGGUUCGGGCUCAACCCGAACACUGCCUUUCAUACUGGGAGCCUUGAGUGCGGGAGAGGCGAGUGGAAUGGUCGGUGUAGCGGUGAAAUGCGUAGAUAUCGAUCGGAACAUCCAUGGCGAAGGCAGCUCGCUGGCCUGCAACUGACGCUGAGGCGCGAAAGCCAGGGGAGCGAACGGG